UACGUAGGGUGCGAAGCGUUGUCCGGAAUUAUUGGGCGUAAAGAGCUCGUAGGCGGUUUGUCGCGUCUGCUGUGAAAACCCGAGGCUCAACCUCGGGCCUGCAGUGGGUACGGGCAGACUAGAGUGCGGUAGGGGAGAUUGGAAUCCUUGGUGUAGCGGUGGAAUGCGCAGAUAUCAGGAGGAACACCAAUGGCGAAGGCAGAUCUCUGGGCCGUAACUGGACGCUGAGGAGCGAAAGCAUGGGGAGCGAACAGG
rnacentral:rRNA from 1 species